GUGAGCGAGCGAGAGAGAGCGAGGGGGAAGGAAGGAGGGAAGGGAGGCGAGAGGAAGAGGGCACGCAGUAAACGGCACAUAAUGCACAGCGAGUAACGGGAACGUAAGCUGUCAGUGUCCUGAGCUGCACACAGAUCUCAUUAAAGGAUGUAUCAACCGUUGCAGCACAGUGUGUGUGGAGCCUGACAUUCCUCGCAGGGCUGUGUGUGAUUGUCCCUCCUGUUUUCUGACCAUUAUCACUGCGCCUGCUUCAUUGGCGAGCGUGUGUUUGGACAUCUAACCCCCCUUCAACCCCCCAGUUCCUGAGGCCUGUCGCCACGACAACCAUGGACUGCGGAUUGCGCCUGCCGCCUGUCAUUGAGGAGGUCUUGGAUCCUGCAGAUGAUGUGUGUGACUUGAAAGCAGAGCGGCCGGGUAUAGGUAGCGAAAUGACAGCCAAAGAGCGAGGCUCACUGGAGGAUAACGAGGAGAGAGACCAGGAGGAGGUGGAGGCUGGAAACGGAGAGAAGGGGCAGGAGGAUGAGCGGGAGAAGAAGGAGGUGAAGGAGGAGACGGCGGAGGAGGAGAAGGAGGGGGACAGAGAGGAGCAGAGAGGAGUGGAUGACGAAGAUGAGCUGGAGGUGCUGAGGUCGCAGGUGGUGCAGCUGCUCCUGGAGCUGGAGGAGACCAGAGAGGUGUCACAACGACACGAGGAGAGCUACAACGAGCUUCAGGGUCUUUUGGAGGAAGAGCGGCUGGCAAGCGCCCACCAGGCCGAGAGCUUUACGAGGCAGAUCCAGAGACUUCAAGGUGAACAGAAAGACAAUUAGAAACAGAAGCAGAUGUGAACGCAUCACAAUUCUAAAGAUAAAAUAAAUAAAAUUAACUUUAGACUUUAAGUAUGACAGAUAUGAAUUAUUAUACUUAGUCAUCAAGUAGC
rnacentral:lncRNA from 1 species